CAACUUUCAACAACGGAUCUCUUGGCUCUCGCAUCGAUGAAGAACGCAGCGAAAUGCGAUAAGUAAUGUGAAUUGCAGAUUUUUAGUGAAUCAUCGAAUCUUUGAACGCACCUUGCGCCCCUUGGUAUUCCGAGGGGCAUGCCUGUUUGAGUGUCAUUA
rnacentral:rRNA from 1 species